UCCUACGGGUGGCUGCAGUGGGGAAUAUUGGACAAUGGGGGAAACCCUGAUCCAGCGACGCCGCGUGGGUGAAGAAGGCCUGCGGGUUGUAAAGCCCUUUCGGUGGGGAAGAAAAGCCUCGACCUAACACGUCGGGGUAUUGACGUAACCCACAAAAGAAGCACCGGCUAACUCUGUGCCAGCAGCCGCGGUAAUACAGAGGGUGCGAGCGUUAAUCGGAAUUACUGGGCGUAAAGCGCGCGUAGGCGGCUAUACAAGUCGAGUGUGAAAUCCCCGGGCUCAACCUGGGAACUGCAUUCGAGACUGUAUUGCUUGAGUAUGGGAGAGGGAGGCGGAAUUUCAGGUGUAGCGGUGAAAUGCGUAGAUAUCUGAAGGAACAUCAGUGGCGAAAGCGGCCUCCUGGACCAAUACUGACGCUCAUGUGCGAAAGCGUGGGGAGCAAACAGGAUUAGAUACCCUAGUAGUCAG
rnacentral:rRNA from 1 species